rnacentral:rRNA from 1 species
UGGGCGUAAGCGCACGCAGGCGGUCUGUCAAGUCGGAUGUGAAAUCCCCGGGCUCAACCUGGGAACUGCAUUCGAAACUGGCAGGCUAGAGUCUUGUAGAGGGGGGUAGAAUUCCAGGUGUAGCGGUGAAAUGCGUAGAGAUCUGGAGGAAUACCGGUGGCGAAGGCGGCCCCCUGGACAAAGACUGACGCUCAGGUGCGAAAGCGUGGGGAGCAAACAGGAUUAGAUACCCUGGUAGUCCACGCCGUAAACGAUGUCGACUUGGAGGUUGUGCCCUUGAGGCGUGGCUUCCGGAGCUAACGCGUUAAGUCGACCGCCUGGGGAGUACGGCCGCAAGGUUAAAACUCAAAUGAAUUGACGGGGGCCCGCACAAGCGGUGGAGCAUGUGGUUUAAUUCGAUGCAACGCGAAGAACCUUACCUACUCUUGACAUCCAGAGAACUUUCCAGAGAUGGAUUGGUGCCUUCGGGAACUCUGAGACAGGUGCUGCAUGGCUGUCGUCAGCUCGUGUUGUGAAAUGUUGGGUUAAGUCCCGCAACGAGCGCAACCCUUAUCCUUUGUUGCCAGCGGUUAGGCCGGGAACU